GCAAACUUGGUCAUUUAGAGGAAGUAAAAGUCGUAACAAGGUUUCCGUAGGUGAACCUGCGGAAGGAUCAUUAUUGAAUAAACCUGGCUUGCUGAUGCUGGUCUCUCCGGAGGCAUGUGCUCGCUUGUCAUCUUUAUAUCUCCACCUGUGCACCUCUUGUAGAACUGGGAUGUGGGACUGCUGUGCAUCUUAGCAAUGCCAGCUUUCCUUGUUUCUCUCCAGUGCUACGUCUUUCAUAUACACCAGAAAUGUAAAUGAAUGUUGAUCAUGGGUCUUCGUACCUAUAAAACAAAUAUACAACUUUCAGCAACGGAUCUCUUGGCUCUCGCAUCGAUGAAGAACGCAGC
rnacentral:misc_RNA from 1 species